rnacentral:rRNA from 1 species
AUGUUGAUGCUAAGGGCAGCGCCGAUGUCCUACGCCAAGGUGGACAAGGUGGACGCCGAGGAGGCGCGGCACUGGAAGGCGCAGUUCCUGAUCCACAAGGCGCUCGAGACGGGGCCGACUAGGCGGCCGCCGGCGGCGGCGCCAUUGGCGAGGGCUGGCGGCUGCAGGGUCGUCAGGGCGGUGAGGAUCGGCAUCCGGCUCAAGAGGCUCAGGAUCGCCGUCCGGAGCUUCAGGCUGCGCGUCUGCCGGAGCGUCCUCAAGCACCUCAAGAAUCUCAGGAGGCUCGGGUCUCCUCGUUCUUGA